UACGUAGGUGGCGAGCGUUAUCCGGAUUCAUUGGGCGUAAAGCGCGCGUAGGCGGCCGCCUAAGCGGAACCUCUAACCCCGGGGCUCAACCUCGGGCCGGGUUCCGGACUGGGCGGCUCGAGUGCGGUAGAGGAGAGCGGAAUUCCCGGUGUAGCGGUGGAAUGCGCAGAUAUCGGGAAGAACACCGAUGGCGAAGGCAGCUCUCUGGGCCGUCACUGACGCUGAGGCGCGAAAGCUGGGGGAGCGAACAGG
rnacentral:rRNA from 1 species